rnacentral:lncRNA from 1 species
UGCUAUUAUGAAGCACAAGUGUGGAAAAUGAUAGUAGCAUUGUCCCUUCUCUCUUUUUUUUAUUUGGGCUCUUUGGCCUCUUUUUUUCUCUUCUCUUUAUUUAUUCGGGCUCCUUGGCCUCUUUUUUUUAUUUCCUCACAUAGGACAAUGAUCUAAUAAUGAUGAUCAUCACACUUUUAUUUACUCACAACUCAAAGCUCAGAACGAUGAUGACUCUAUAGAAAAUGCCUCCGGCAGUGUACCGGGAUGUGCAACGAUCUAGCUUGGCGUAUGACGUUGGAACAUCUCGCUAGCUAUCUUACGAUCAUGCAAUGGCAAUUAUGAGAGUGACAGCACAAGUCCUUAGACGGAACAGUGGGAGU